ACAUCCAGAGAACUUAGCAGAGAUGCUUUGGUGCCUUCGGGAACUCUGAGACAGGUGCUGCAUGGCUGUCGUCAGCUCGUGUUGUGAAAUGUUGGGUUAAGUCCCGNAACGAGCGCAACCCUUAUCCUUUGUUGCCAGCGGUUCGGCCGGGAACUCAAAGGAGACUGCCGGUGAUAAACCGGAGGAAGGUGGGGAUGACGUCAAGUCAUCAUGGCCCUUACGGCCAGGGCUACACACGUGCUACAAUGGCGCAUACAAAGAGAAGCGACCUCGCGAGAGCAAGCGGACCUCAUAAAGUGUGUCGUAGUCCGGAUUGGAGUCUGCAACUCGACUCCAUGAAGUCGGAAUCGCUAGUAAUCGUAGAUCAGAAUGCUACGGUGAAUACGUUCCCGGGCCUUGUACACACCGCCCGUCACACCAUGGGAGUGGGUUGCAAAAGAAGUAGGUAGCUUAACCUUCGGGAGGGCGCUUACCACUUUGUGAUUCAUGACUGGGGUGAAGUCGUAACAAGGUAAGCGUAGCGAG
rnacentral:rRNA from 1 species